rnacentral:lncRNA from 1 species
GGAUAAUUCAGUCUGACUCCAAGGCUCUUUUCUUUUCUUUCAUUUUAAUUUAUUUAUUUGAGAGAGGGACAGUGAGAGCAUGAGAGGGGGGAAGGUCAGAGGGAGAAGCAGACUCUCCGUGGAGCUGGGCCAAGGCUCAUUUCUUUUUACCUCACUGCCUUCCAAAAGGGAAUUUUCCCAAAGCCAGAGAAGAGAGGCGGGCAGCACCGCUGCCUCCUGCGAGCAUUCAUUUGAAGCUCUCCAAGGCAGUUGUGCACACCUGGCCAACAAGAGAGACUGGGAACAGUCUCUAGAAAAUGCUAUCCACCUGCAAUGCGUGUGGGGCCCUCUGUGGAUGUGAGGUGGCAGCUGAACCUGACGCUGUAACCGGUAGCUGCUUCCCUGUCCUGCCUGCGUGAGCACCUGCGUCCGCACCGAGAGUGACGCCAGUGGGUUCCGUGUGACCGGG